rnacentral:lncRNA from 1 species
AACUCCUUCAGCAGCCGCGCCGAUUGGAACUCCGGGAGAGGGGCGGCGACUCGAAGAAGGGCUGCGCCGGCUGUGAGAGUCGACGUCGUUGCGUCGAGUGCGGGCGGCGGGGCGGGGCAGUGCGGCGGAGUGGAGGCUGGGAGUUGGAACUUGGAAGAAUGGAAAUUCAAAAUUGGAAGGGACGAGCGGCGGGGGAUGGGAUGAAUGAAAUGAAACCCUACUAACCUAAACUAAGAAAAUAAAAAUUUAAAAAUUAAAAUAAAUGUUUAAUAAAAAUAAUAAUAUUAUUAUCGGGUUACCUGAACCGAACCAGACCCAACCCGAACCCGACCCGAAAUUAUCAGGUCCUUAUCAGGUCGACCCGAUAAGGACCCGAACCUUAUCGUGCGUGUUACUAACCCAUUAAUUUCGUGCGGUUUCGUGUCGGGUUAUCGUGUCGUGUCGAAAAUUGCCAGCCCUA